rnacentral:miRNA from 1 species
CCGCAUGCCACGUGUACACGUGUGCCGGGCGCUGUCUCGAGACAUUCGCACAGCGCACUGCACUGGGGACACGUGGCACUG